AAUCCAUAGGUUAAUGAGGCGAACCGGGGGAACUGAAACAUCUAAGUACCCCGAGGAAAAGAAAUCAACCGAGAUUCCCCCAGUAGCGGCGAGCGAACGGGGAGGAGCCCAGAGCCUGAAUCAGCAUAUGUGUUAGUGGAAGCGUCUGGAAAGGCGCGCGAUACAGGGUGACAGCCCCGUACACAAAAGCGCAUGUGCUGUGAGCUCGAUGAGUAGGGCGGGACACGUGGUAUCCUGUCUGAAUAUGGGGGGACCAUCCUCCAAGGCUAAAUACUCCUGACUGACCGAUAGUGAACCAGUACCGUGAGGGAAAGGCGAAAAGAACCCCGGCGAGGGGAGUGAAACAGAACCUGAAACCGUGUACGUACAAGCAGUGGGAGCACAGGUUUACCUGUGUGACUGCGUACCUUUUGUAUAAUGGGUCAGCGACUUAUAUUCUGUAGCAAGGUUAACCGAAUAGGGGAGCCGUAGGGAAACCGAGUCUUAACCGGGCGUUAAGUUGCAGGGUAUAGACCCGAAACCCGGUGAUCUAGCCAUGGGCAGGUUGAAGGUUGGGUAACACUAACUGGAGGACCGAACCGACUAAUGUUGAAAAAUUAGCGGAUGACCUGUGGCUGGGGGUGAAAGGCCAAUCAAACCGGGAGAUAGCUGGUUCUCCCCGAAAGCUAUUUAGGUAGCGCCUCGUGAAUUCAUCUCCGGGGGUAGAGCACUGUUUCGGCCAGGGGGCCAUCCCGGCUUACCAACCCGAUGCAAACUGCGAAUACCGGAGAAUGUUAUCACGGGAGACACACGGCGGGUGCUAACGUCCGUCGUGAAGAGGGAAACAACCCAGACCGCCAGCUAAGGUCCCAAAGUCAUGGUUAAGUGGGAAACGAUGUGGGAAGGCCCAGACAGCCAGGAUGUUGGCUUAGAAGCAGCCAUCAUUUAAAGAAAGCGUAAUAGCUCACUGGUCGAGUCGGCCUGCGCGGAAGAUGUAACGGGGCUAAACCAUGCACCGAAGCUGCGGCAGCGAACGUAUCACUUAAAGCGAUUCAGCGGAUGACGAUUGACGGAGCGAAGCGACGUCAAAGCGUUUUACAAAGUCGAGUCGGUUUAAGGAUACGUUCGUUGGGUAGGGGAGCGUUCUGUAAGCCUGUGAAGGUGUGUCGUGAGGCAUGCUGGAGGUAUCAGAAGUGCGAAUGCUGACAUAAGUAACGAUAAUGCGGGUGAAAAACCCGCACGCCGGAAGACCAAGGGUUCCUGUCCAACGUUAAUCGGGGCAGGGUGAGUCGACCCCUAAGGCGAGGCCGAAAGGCGUAGUCGAUGGGAAACGGGUUAAUAUUCCCGUACCUGGUGUUACUGCGAAGGGGGGACGGAGAAGGCUAUGUUGGCCGGGCGACGGUUGUCCCGGUUUAAGCGUGCAGGUGUGUGUUCCAGGAAAAUCCGGUUCACUUUAACACUGAGGCGUGACGACGAGGCACUACGGUGCUGAAGCAACAAAUGCCCUGCUUCCAGGAAAAGCCUCUAAGCCUCAGGUAACAUCAGAUCGUACCCGAAACCGACACAGGUGGUCAGGUAGAGAAUACCAAGGCGCUUGAGAGAACCCGGGUGAAGGAACUAGGCAAAAUGGUGCCGUAACUUCGGGAGAAGGCACGCUGACACGUAGGUGAAGCGGUUUACCCGUGGAGCUGAAGUCAGUCGAAGAUACCAGCUGGCUGCAACUGUUUAUUAAAAACACAGCACUGUGCAAACACGAAAGUGGACGUAUACGGUGUGACGCCUGCCCGGUGCCGGAAGGUUAAUUGAUGGGGUCAGCGCAAGCGAAGCUCCUGAUCGAAGCCCCGGUAAACGGCGGCCGUAACUAUAACGGUCCUAAGGUAGCGAAAUUCCUUGUCGGGUAAGUUCCGACCUGCACGAAUGGCGUAAUGAUGGCCAGGCUGUCUCCACCCGGGACUCAGUGAAAUUGAACUCGCUGUGAAGAUGCAGUGUACCCGCGGCAAGACGGAAAGACCCCGUGAACCUUUACUAUAGCUUGACACUGAACACUGGUCCUUGAUGUGCAGGAUAGGUGGGAGGCUUUGAAGUGUGGACGCCAGUCUGCAUGGAGCCGUCCUUGAAAUACCACCCUUUAAUGGCUGGUGUUCUAACGUAGACCCGUGAACCGGGUUGCGGACAGUGUCUGGUGGGUAGUUUGACUGGGGCGGUCUCCUCCUAAAGCGUAACGGAGGAGCACGAAGGUUGGCUAAUCCUGGUCGGACAUCAGGAGGUUAGUGCAAUGGCAUAAGCCAGCUUGACUGCGAGCGUGACGGCGCGAGCAGGUGCGAAAGCAGGUCAUAGUGAUCCGGUGGUUCUGAAUGGAAGGGCCAUCGCUCAACGGAUAAAAGGUACUCCGGGGAUAACAGGCUGAUACCGCCCAAGAGUUCAUAUCGACGGCGGUGUUUGGCACCUCGAUGUCGGCUCAUCACAUCCUGGGGCUGAAGUAGGUCCCAAGGGUAUGGCUGUUCGCCAUUUAAAGUGGUACGCGAGCUGGGUUUAGAACGUCGUGAGACAGUUCGGUCCCUAUCUGCCGUGGGCGCUGGAGAACUGAGGGGGGCUGCUCCUAGUACGAGAGGACCGGAGUGGACGCAUCACUGGUGUUCGGGUUGUCAUGCCAAUGGCACUGCCCGGUAGCUAAAUGCGGAAGAGAUAAGUGCUGAAAGCAUCUAAGCACGAAACUUGCCCCGAGAUGAGUUCUCCCUGAGACUACAAGUCUCCUGAAGGAACGUUGAAGACGACGACGUUGAUAGGCCGGGUGUGUAAGCGCAGCGAUGCGUUGAGCUAACCGGUACUAAUGAACCGUGAGGCUUAACCUUACAACGCCGAAG
rnacentral:rRNA from 1 species